rnacentral:rRNA from 1 species
AAGAACUAACAGGAUUCCCUAGUACGGCGAGUGAAGCGGGAAGAGCUCAAAUUUGAAAUCUGGUGGCCUCAGGUCAUCCGAGUUGUAAUCUAUAGAAGUGUUUUCCGUGCUGGCUCAUGUACAAGUCCCUUGGAACAGGGCGUCAUAGAGGGUGAGAAUCCCGUCCUUGACAUGAACUACCAGUGCUCUGUGAUACAUUUUCAACGAGUCGAGUUGUUUGGGAAUGCAGCUCAAAAUGGGUGGUAAAUUCCAUCUAAAGCUAAAUAUUGGCGAGAGACCGAUAGCGAACAAGUACCGUGAGGGAAAGAUGAAAAGCACUUUGGAAAGAGAGUUAAACAGUAUGUGAAAUUGUUAAAAGGGAAACGAUUGAAGUCAGUCGUGCUCUUUGGAUUCAGCCGGUUCUGCCGGUGUACUUCCUUUGAGUGGGGUCAACAUCAGUUUUGAUCGCUGGAUAAAGGCUGGAGGAACGUAGCACCCCCGGGUGAACUUAUAGCCUCCUGUCACAUACAGUGGUUGGGACUGAGGAACGCAG